rnacentral:lncRNA from 1 species
AAGUUGGCAGUACACAUGGGAGUGAGAGCUUGUGUAUUGGAGUCUCCCAACUGAGUCUAUUGAAGCAAAGUCAUCAAUUGAUCAUAUUGUUGUCUGCUCAAACCUGGAACCACAGAACUUUGUUCAUCCAUAUUUGGAACAGAUUGGUGACCCUCAUUGGAAUUACCAGUAAGAUCUGAUGUGUGCCCUUCAUAAAGAUUGAAGUGAGCACCAGUAGUUACAUGAGCAGCAGCAGUUUUCCUUACUUUGUUAAACUUGAGGUUUUGUGGAUACCCAUGAAGCUUGUAACACUUAUCAAUUAAGUGUCCAGACUACUUGCAGUAUCUACAGAAUAAAGUCCCCUUUGACUGAUCAAAACUGACUCUUUGUGCAUGUUGUCUGAGAUAAGAAGGAUUAAUUACUGCAGCUUGAUUCAUUCCAAGAGAAGAUGCUGGAUAUUUGUUUGCAUUAAUACUGAAAGACAUGGAGUCAUGAUUGAAUUGAGAGUUGGAUUGGACUUGUCUUUGUUUCUCAUCAUUGAGGAGGAUGUUAUA